rnacentral:rRNA from 1 species
CACCUCUAGCAUUACAAGUAUUAGAGGCACUGCCUGCCCGGUGACAAUUAAAGUUUAACGGCCGCGGUAUCCUGACCGUGCAAAGGUAGCAUAAUCACUUGUUCUUUAAAUAAGGACUAGUAUGAAUGGCUUAACGAGGGUUCAACUGUCUCUUACCUAUAGUCAGUGAAAUUGACAUUCCCGUGAAGAGGCGGGGAUAUAAUAAUAAGACGAGAAGACCCUAUGGAGCUUUAAUUUAUUAAUUCACUUUUAUUAAACUAAAUCAACAAGAGACAAAAUUUAAACUAUGAAUUAACAAUUUUGGUUGGGGUGACCUCGGAGCAAAACCAAACCUCCGAAUGAUAUUAACCUAGAUUUACAAAUCAAAGUUUCUAUCAUAAAUUGACCCAGAAAUAAUCUGAUCAACGAACCAAGUUACCCUAGGGAUAACAGCGCAAUCCUAUUAUAGAGUCCAUAUCGACAAUAGGGUUUACGACCUCGAUGUUGGAUCAGGACCCCCAAAUGGUGCAACCGCUAUUAAAGGUUCGUUUGUUCAACGAUUAAAGUCCU